GAUCCGAGAUCGUGCGCACCACCACCGCUCGAGCCGGCAGCGUUAGCAGGGGCAGCGUGCGAAGACCCCGACACGCGAACCCACUCUCCGGCUUGUCCAUCCCCGACCGAACCAAGCAGCAGCCGGCCGAUCGUCUCCGCCGCCGCCCCGCCGGCGACCCGGGAGGCAGUACGCAGUAGAGGGAUCCGGGGGCGAUGCGGCCGCAACGGGGCGUGGGCGGCGGCGGCGGCGGCCGGAGGGAUCCCGGGCUGAUGACGAGGGCUGUGGACAAGGUCUUCCGCUUCGUCCGCCUCGCCGAAUUCGAGAUCCUCUUCGUCCUCUUCUUCCUCAUCGCCUUCAUCCUCUUCAAGGAUCUCAUGUCACGGCCAGACUACAACCAGAUCUUUGUCAAGAAGCCUGAUCUAGACGACCGCUGGCCUUAGAGGUUUUCCGAAAGAUUCAGUCGCUCACCAUUGCUUCUGUGCAUGUUUUGGAUAUGUUUUUCUCUCCAUUUAUUCUGCGUGACAUCCCCAUGAGUUCUAAGCGAAGCUUGGUGCAAUGGAAUGCAUUCGUCAUUGAUGUGUGCCAAACAUUGACUCAGACGAAGGCAUCAUACAAAUCAAAAUGGAGGGUCGAAGUCACUGUUGCUGCUGCUGCACUUGCCAUUCCUGAAUCGCGAAACGAAGGGCGUUGUUCGGUAUUAACUCACGGUGUGUGAACCUGAGGUAGGUCAUGGGGGACAU